rnacentral:misc_RNA from 1 species
GAUGAAGAACGUAGCGAAAUGCAAUACUUGGUGUGAAUUGCAGAAUCCAGUGAACCAUCGAGUCUUUGAACGCAAGUUGCGCCCGAAGCCAUUAGGCCGAGGGCACGCCUGCCUGGGCGUCACACGUCGUUGCCCCCCCAUCUACUCCUUCGGGAUUGCGGGGGGCGGAUGAUGGCCUCUCGUGCGCCUCGUCGCGCGGUUGGCCUAAAUGCCAAGUCCUCGGCGACGCACGCCACGACAAUCGGUGGUUGCGAAACCUCGGUUGCCUGUCGUGUGCGGUCGUCGCGCAUCGAGGGCUCGAAAAAAUUGCCGGGCUUCGGCUCGACUUUCAACGCGACCCCAGGUCAGGCGGGGUUACCCGCUGAAUUUAAGCAUAUCAAAUAAGCGGAGGA